UUGGAGGGCAAGUCUGGUGCCAGCAGCCGCGGUAAUUCCAGCUCCAAUAGCGUAUAUUAAAGUUGUUGCAGUUAAAAAGCUCGUAGUUGAAUUACGGUGUUCUACCGUUGGUCGGGCAAUUGUCUGUACUGGCGUGUAAAAUUUCUACCUUCUGGGGAACCAUCAUGUUAUUAAUUUAGCGUGGUGGGAAACCAGGACCUUUACCUUGAAAAAAUUAGAGUGUUCAAAGCAGGCUUACGUCUGAAUACAUUAGCAUGGAAUAAUAACAUAGGACGGUGGUCCUGUUUUGUUGGUUUCUGAAUCACCGUAAUGAUUAAUAGGGAUAGUUGGGGGCUUUAGUAUUCAAUUGUCAGUGAUGAAAUUCUUGGAUUUAUUGAAGACUAACUUCUGCGAAAGCAUUUGCCAAGGAUGUUUUCAUUAAUCAAGAACGAAAGUUAGGGGAUCGAAUACGAUCAUAUACCGUCGUAGUCUUAACCAUAAACUAUGCCGACUAGGGAUCGGACGAUGUUAAUUUUUCUUAACUCGUUCGGCGCCUUACGGGAAAC
rnacentral:rRNA from 1 species